GCCCUGGACAAGGAUCUAAGAUGUUAGCUCCUUGUACAGCUGUGGAAAGUCACCUUCUUUAUUUAUGUGCUCAGUCGUGUCUGACUCUUUGUGACCCCAUGGACUAUAGUCCACCAGGCUUCUCUGUCUGUGGAAUUUUCCAGGCAAGAAUACUUGAGUGGGUGGUCAUUUCCUUCUCUGGAGGAUCUUCCCCUCCCAGGGUUGAACCCUUAUCUCCCGUGUCUCCUGCAUUGCAGUGGGAUUCUUUACCUGAUGAGCCAUUGGGAAAACCCAACCUUGUUUUUUCCUUCUAUAAAUCAAGGGGCGCACGGGUCGUCGAGUUGAGGAAGCCGAUGCCGUCACCAUCCACAGCCGCCGAAAGCAACUUCCUACUCCCCCUUGGCCUCUGCUGUGGGAACGCUUCCCCUAGCGCUGCAGGAAUCUUUCCCCUUAAACCGGGGAAGAUUCCUUAAUCCGUUUUCGUGGUAAACGACCUCGGGCCAAGACUCCUUUUGUUGCUGGUUUCUUAAACUUAAUUGCAAGCAAAGUUAAUUUGAAAGAAAAUAAAUGUUACAGCUCUGGGGCGAAUUCUAACGAGCCUUGGGAAAUUAGAGAAGAACGCAUCUAAUUACCCACAGCCCGGGGGGCGCCUGCACACGACGCUGGGGGUGCAGAGCCCAGAUAGGGGCACACAAUUUUUUUGGUUUCAAGAUAGGAAGAAGAAAAAAGAAACACACCUCCCGACUCUGAGCCCCUAGACAGGGAGGUCCUGUUUCGCGGUUUGGGGGUUCGGAGAGUUGGACUGUCGCUAGACGCAGCAAUGAAUGCUCUCAAGGUCCUAGAAUCGCGCGGACAGCUCGGCCGCGUGGAAGGUAGACUCCGCUCGGCCUGUCUGUGGUUGAAGCGCCCGGAUGGCCCGCGAGCUUUGGGUGCCGCCGGCUGGCAGGAGGCCGAAAAGCGCCGACGUUCUCCAAAACCUCGACAGUCCCGCUGUCUUUCCGGGCUCUCGCUGUGCGCACCCAGUUCCCAACUCGCAGCGUCCCCUCUCCCGUCACAUACUCUGGCUUUUGGCGCCAUCUCACCCGUCGUCCCAGUUUCCAGAGAGAGUUGGGAGUGAAGACGCGUGCACUUUGCCUCUCCAUCUUUCUCGUUCACCCGGGUUUUACCUCGACGCUCCAGGAGGCUUCGGGAUAAGCUGGCGCUUUUUAAUUGUAAAGCCCUUCUUCCCUCGUGUGCCAAGCGCUUUACAGUUUACAGCGUAUCUACCUCUCUUGAUUCGUUUAACUUCAGGAGGACUCUGAGCGAGGGGUCACAAAUUACUACUCACAAAUGAGGACCCUAGAGAAGGGACUGGUUAAUGGCGCUGUCAAAGCAAUGGACUUGCUAAAUAAAACACAGAGAAGGGUCAACCACCGCAUUAACCGGGCGCAUAGACUGCCCUUUUCCAGCCCUAAUCCCCUAGCUGGGCUUUAGGCAGCCAAGGACAAGACCCUGGGUGGAAGCCUUUCAAUUUCUGACUACUGCCAGCUAAGGAAAUGGCAACCCACUCCAGUAUUCUUGGCCUGGAGAAUCCCAGGGACGGGGAGCCUGAUGGGCUGCCGUCUAUGGGGUCGCACAGAGUCGGACACGACUGAAGAGACUUAGCAGCAGCAGCCAGCUAGGCAAGGCAUCCUGAUUUCUGCCUGGGAGAGCCAGACUGUCUAGCUGCACAUGAGAACCUUUGAAUUUCAACCUGCAAGGAUCCAUAGGGAGAUAAGGGAGGCCUAACACCUAGGCAUUUCCAAGGUCACAGGGCUAGGUCUGAAAUCUGGACCUACUGGUCGUAGGGUCAGUGCUGCAGCUGCUCCCUGCCUCCAGGUGGUUCAUUACUACCAGCAGAGUUCGGAAGGACCAGUGUCUAGACUCCUGCUAACACCAUAGCCAUCAACCACACACUGCUAUUGAGCACUUGGCUUGUGGUUAGUCCAAACUUGAGCUCUAAGUGUAAAAUACACUCCAGAUUUUGAAGACUUAGUAUGAAAAACAUACACUACCUCAACAAUUUUUACACUGAUUAUACCUUGAAAUGAUAGUUUGGACAAAUUGUGUUAAAUACAGUAUAUUAUUAAUCUAUUUCACUUGUUUUUAAAAUAAAUGCAGCUACCAGAAAAAUCUUAGUUACAUGGGCAGCUUGCAUGAUAUUUCUAUUGGGCAGCACUUUUAGACAGAUACCCAUCUGGACUGAAUCACAUUCACAUGUCUUUGUGAACAGGAUAGAGCAAUCCACGAAAUUAAAAAUUACCAAUGGUUUUCAGUCUUCUUUCCCACACUCCCCAACUCUUCCCUAGUAAAUUAAUUACACAGAAAGAGGCUGCCUUUCUCUUGCCAGAACUCACUUACUCAAAGAUCUUUAUUAGAAACAGUUCAUAUGAACACUCAAGUUUAUCUGAAACUGCACAACGAGCUUCUGAAAUAUUUAAUGCUUGAAAGUUUUGUUCCAGAAUCAAAACUUACAAGAUAUCUCCUGAGAAAGGUGGGGAAAUGGUUGGAUUUAUUAUUUUUUUUCUGAUCUUGGUCAUCUUGUAGCUUAAAAGAAAUAAAUGGAAACAAAGUUAAAUACCAGUUUCUUUCUAAGCCUGCCUAACUGCCCCAGUUUUUCUUUCUUUUUUGCAUGAAAAGAUGCCAGGGAUGGAAGGGCCAGCCCACAAAAUGAAAGCCCUCACCAAGAGACUCAAGAGAGUUUUGUUAUCUCUUUGACUUUUAACUCACCCAUUGGGUCCAGGGCUUAAUGAAAAGAAAGAGUGGGCAAUGGACAAAUGUAUUUCUACCUGCCUCAUUGGAAAACCACAUUUAUGACCCAGCAGUAAUAGCUGCCGAAUGAUCAGCACAUCAUGCUGAAAUUGUGACAUAAUUGGGGCCUGGAGCUAAUCCAGAGUUGCUUGCUAUGAGCUCUGUUCCCAUUCCUUGGAGUAAGGUUAGGCCUUGGGUGGCCCAUCCAUGCUGCCAAAUAUGCAGGGCGGCAGCAGCCCUGAUGGGCCCUUAAAGAUCAUAUGGGGGCACGGUUGGAUUCUACAGCUCUCUUGUAUAUCACAUGGGAACCCUGCAGGGUGUGAGUGAUGGAACUGGGUCACACUGUGGCAACCCAGCACAGUCUGGAUUCAGAGCCAGGUUUGCAGUUCUCAGAGGCUGGGAAAAGCAGGCCUCGGUCAAGCUAAACAGAGAUCUUUCCCAUUUUUUAAAAAAGUUACUUCUUUUGCAAAUUUGUCCUCCUCAUCUUAUGUGGGAAGACGCUAUAGGAGUCUUUUAUUGUAAUAAGACAGUCAAAGGCACAAGAGGUCGAACUGUGUAAAAAGAGCUUUGAAAAGUACAGGGAAGAGUGAAAUCAUGUGAUUCUUCACCAUUCCUCUAGACUCUGGAGUAGACGCUACCUUGUGCCCCGUUUAGAGCUAAGGGCCCUCCCCGGUUAGAAUGUCCAAGGCAAGACCUUUGGAGCUGCGCCUCUAUGAGGGUCUCUUGUCCCAGUCCAUGGGCCUAGGACGCUUCUCCCCACUUCCCAUUUUCAAAGCCGCCCGGUAGGCGCCCGGUGUACGCGGUGCACCGGGAGUCUGCGCCUGUCACGCCGGCUCGGUCCCUGCCACGUGGCUCUCAAUUCGGCCCUCUGUCCAGUCCUGUCCUCAGGUUUCGUCGAUACUUAGUUCGUAAGGACAGUCGAGGU
rnacentral:lncRNA from 1 species